rnacentral:rRNA from 1 species
GACGAACGCUGACGGCGUGCUUAACACAUGCAAGUCGAAGGGAGUGGCGAACGGGUGAGUAACACGUGAGUAACCUGCCCUUUUCUUUGGGAUAAGCCUGGGAAACUGGGUCUAAUACUGGAUGGAUUGGGAUGGGCUCGCGGCUUAUCAGCUUGUUGGUGGGGUGCAGGCUUACCAAGGCUUUGCCGGGUAGCCGGCCUGAGAGGUGGGUCGUGAACUGUGGGACUGAGAUACCGCCCAGAUUCUCACGGGAGGCAGCAGUGUGGGCUAUUGAACAAGGGAUGAAGGGCUGAUGCAGCGAAGUCGUGUGGGGGAUGAGGGCUUUCGGUUUGGAAACUCCUUUCGCCCGCGAAAGGGUAGUGGGUAAAGGAGCGCCGGCUAACUACGUGCCAGCAGCCGGGGUAAUAC